rnacentral:rRNA from 1 species
AGGGCACCACCAGGAGUGGAGCCUGCGGCUUAAUUUGACUCAACACGGGGAAACUCACCCGGCCCGGACACCGUAAGGAUUGACAGAUUGAUAGCUUUUUCAUGAUUCGGUGGAUGGUGGUGCAUGGCCGUUCUUAGUUCGUGGAGCGAUUUGUCUGGUUUAUUCCGAUAACGAGCGAGACUCUGGCCUACUAAAUAGUUGCCGCAUUGACACUGUGCGCACAACACUUCUUAGAGGGAUUUUCGGUGUUCAGCCGCAAGAAAUUGAGCAAUAACAGGUCUGUGAUGCCCUUAGAUGUCCGGGGCUGCACGCGCGCUACACUGGCAAAAUCAGCGUGCUUGUCCUUCCCCGAAAGGGGUUGGUAAACCCGUGAAAAUUUGCCGUGAUUGGGAUCGGACAUUGCAAUUAUUUUCCAUGAACGAGGAAUUCCAAGUAAGUGCGAGUCAUCAGCUCGCGUUGAUUACGUCCCUGCCCUUUGUACACACCGCCCGUCGCUGCCCGGGACUGAGCCAUUUCGAG